UGAUCUUCCACUGCCUCUUCCUAUGCUCAAGUCUUCAUUAAGGGCUAACCGAAUUUCUGGAUUUCCAGUGAGAUAACUCUUCAUUUGAAUGGUGCCAUCAAUUUCAGAUGUCAGUAUAUAACCACUAGAGCUGAAUGUGACACUGAUUUUCUCGAUUAUAUCCACAAAUAUUUCCUCCCUCUUCCUACCUCCAGGCUCAUUCGCCACUACAGAUUUUGUUACAGCUGUACCCGGCAUCCUUUUUGUCCCUUGCAUAAAAAUGGCAGCAGGGUUCAGAGGCUGCAAGCGGCCAGCAUCAACCACAAUUGGCUCAUUAAAAACAUAGGACUUCAACAAUUCCGUGGACGUGGUUUGUACAUAACCAAAAUCUAUCACUUCAUCAAGCAAUUCAUAUACGAGCACAAAGUUUUUCCGCAAGGAAUCUUCAUUGAGAAUUCCAAGGUAAUCUUUGAUAACACGAGCAAUCCUUUGCAAGAGUUCCAAGACCAGAGAAGGUGACACAUUAACUCUUGUGGUUGCAACAAAUAAUAAUCCAACAACCUUCACGUGAAAAUAGUUC
rnacentral:misc_RNA from 1 species